AACUAACGCUGGCGGCAGGCUUAACACAUGCAAGUCGAACGCCCCGCAAGGGGAGUGGCAGACGGGUGAGUAACGCGUGGGAACAUACCCUUUUCUACGGAAUAGCUCUGGGAAACUGGAAUUAAUACCGUAUACGCCCUACGGGGGAAAGAUUUAUCGGGGAAGGAUUGGCCCGCGUUGGAUUAGCUAGUUGGUGGGGUAAAGGCCUACCAAGGCGACGAUCCAUAGCUGGUCUGAGAGGAUGAUCAGCCACAUUGGGACUGAGACACGGCCCAAACUCCUACGGGAGGCAGCAGUGGGGAAUAUUGGACAAUGGGCGCAAGCCUGAUCCAGCCAUGCCGCGUGAGUGAUGAAGGCCUUAGGGUUGUAAAGCUCUUUCACCGAUGAAGAUAAUGACGGUAGUCGGAGAAGAAGCCCCGGCUAACUUCGUG
rnacentral:rRNA from 1 species